GUGAGGAAUUUUCCGCAAUGGGCGAAAGCCUGACGGAGCAAUGCCGCGUGAAGGAUGAAGGCCUAUGGGUUGUAAACUUCUUUUCUUAGAGAAGAAUAUUGACGGUAUCUGAGGAAUAAGCAUCGGCUAACUCUGUGCCAGCAGCCGCGGUAAUACGAAGGUCCCAAGCGUUGUUCGGAAUCACUGGGCGUAAAGGGAGCGUAGGCUGCGCGGUAAGUCAGGUGUGAAAUCCCGGGGCUCAACCCCGGAACUGCACCCGAUACUGCCGUGCUAGAGGGUUGGAGAGGUGACUGGAAUUCUCGGUGUAGCAGUGAAAUGCGUGGAUAUCGAGAGGAACACUCGUGGCGAAGGCGAGUCACUGGACAACAUCUGACGCUGAGGCUCGAAGGCCAGGGGAGCAAAAGGGAUUAGAUACCCCUGUAGUCC
rnacentral:rRNA from 1 species